GACUUAUGAAGAAAGGUGGAGGGAUAGGCCCUGUGAAACCUUGGCAACCUAUUUAUUCAAUUAAAAAAGGUGCCAAAUCCCAUUCUGACAAACCGUUAGGAAGAGAUAAGUU
rnacentral:ncRNA from 2 species